rnacentral:rRNA from 1 species
AGGCAGCAGUGGGGAAUAUUGGACAAUGGGCGAAAGCCUGACGCAGCGACGCCGCGUGAGUGAUGAAGGCCUUCGGGUUGUAAAGCUCUGUGGGGAGAGACGAAUAAGUAGGGGUUAAUACCCCCUGCGAUGACGGUAUCUCCUUAGCAAGCACCGGCUAACUCUGUGCCAGCAGCCGCGGUAAGACAGAGGGUGCAGACGUUGUUCGGAAUUACUGGGCGUAAAGCGUGUGUAGGCGGCUUUGCAAGUCGGAUGUGAAAGCCCCGGGCUCAACCCGGGAAGUGCACUCGAUACUGCAGAGCUUGAGUGUCGGAGAGGUUGGUGGAAUUCUCGGUGUAGAGGUGAAAUUCGUAGAUAUCGAGAGGAACACCGGCGGCGAAGGCGGCCAACUGGACGAACACUGACGCUGAGACACGAAAGCGUGGGGAGCAAACAGGAUUAGAUACCCUGGUAG